UGGGGAAGUAUUGGGCAAUGGGCGAAAGCCUGACCCAGCAACGCCGCGUGAAGGAAGAAGGCUUUCGGGUUGUAAACUUCUUUUCUCAGGGACGAAAGAAAUGACGGUACCUGAGGAAUAAGCCACGGCUAACUACGUGCCAGCAGCCGCGGUAAUACGUAGGUGGCAAGCGUUAUCCGGAUUUAUUGGGUGUAAAGGGCGUGUAGGCGGGAGUGCAAGUCAGAUGUGAAAACUAUGGGCUCAACCCAUAGCCUGCAUUUGAAACUGUACUUCUUGAGUGCUGGAGAGGCAAUCGGAAUUCCGUGUGUAGCGGUGAAAUGCGUAGAUAUACGGAGGAACACCAGUGGCGAAGGCGGAUUGCUGGACAGUAACUGACGCUGAGGCGCGAAAGCGUGGGGAGCAAACAGGAUUAGAUACC
rnacentral:rRNA from 1 species